GCGUUCCCUGAUCGGACUUUUCAUUUUUUACUAGAGAAAAAAAAUGACCAAAAUCCAAUCUCAUCGUCUUCUCAUCUACUGAUCUGUUCCUCGCGGCUGGGUGACCGUCGGCCGGCUCACAUGAUUCGUUCAUGUGCAGCAGGCAAUAGCGGGAAGCCAGCAACAAAUAGGCCGUCGUCGGCCGCUCACCGACCAAUGGACAACGCCGGAUGCCGGACUCCUCCGACGCGAGACGCGACCAUCCGACUACGCCGCAUGUCAUAAAAAAAUUCUCCCUGGAUCCCUCUCUAUUUGGCCUUAGCAAAGUAGCAACAUAAUUUUUAGUAUUUUAACCUAUAUCUUGUCAAUUAGUCAGACUUGAUUGGAAUUCUGCCUAGUACCCCCUUCAUGUGUUGUUCUUCAUAUAUGCUCGUACAACUUCUAGCUAGUAGCUGAAUUUACGUUCCCUUUCGAAUUUUAUUUGUUAAAUGCAGGGCAGAUGAUAUGGACAGGUUUUUUAUCAAAGGAAAGGCACUUUCAUAGUUUGCUUCAGAAGACAUGAAUUGGG
rnacentral:lncRNA from 1 species